AGUGAACGCUGGCGGUAGGCCUAACACAUGCAAGUCGAACGGCAGCACAGUAAGAGCUUGCUCUUACGGGUGGCGAGUGGCGGACGGGUGAGGAAUACAUCGGAAUCUACUUUUUCGUGGGGGAUAACGUAGGGAAACUUACGCUAAUACCGCAUACGACCUACGGGUGAAAGCAGGGGAUCUUCGGACCUUGCGCGAUUGAAUGAGCCGAUGUCGGAUUAGCUAGUUGGCGGGGUAAAGGCCCACCAAGGCGACGAUCCGUAGCUGGUCUGAGAGGAUGAUCAGCCACACUGGAACUGAGACACGGUCCAGACUCCUACGGGAGGCAGCAGUGGGGAAUAUUGGACAAUGGGCGCAAGCCUGAUCCAGCCAUACCGCGUGGGUGAAGAAGGCCUUCGGGUUGUGAAGCCCUUUUGUUGGGAAAGAAAAGCAGCAGGUUAAUACCCCGCUGUUCUGACGGUACUCAAAGAAUAAGCACCGGCUAACUUCGU
rnacentral:rRNA from 1 species